rnacentral:lncRNA from 1 species
GGCCUAGAUUCAAUAUUUUUUAUUUCUUACAAAACCAAGUAAAUGAUACAAAGAAAUAAUAUUUACAUAUAAUUAUUAUAUGUAAAUAACAUACAGAUUCUGGCCAUGACAAGAUUGUACAAAACCAGCAUAAAAGAUGACAGAUUGAUGAUCAACCAGGAGAACAUACCUCUGUAUUGAUAAUUCUGAUUAAUUUACACAGCAUCACUGAAGAUAUAUUUGUUGUCUAUAUACACAUCUGGUGCAGAAAAAAUUGGUACAGUUAAUGUCAUUACAAGAAGUUAUCGCAUGUCAUAUUUGAAUGACAUUAUGUAAUUAUUAAUAGAAUAUUUUGCAAUGAGGCUUUUGUAGACAAAAUUGUGUGUCUGGCGCAAAUACAAAAUUUUAAUCCUGGUAUCUAUGAUGAGUUUACUUGCCCCUGUAAGAUUUCAAAGUACAGUACUGACAACUACUAGUAUUUUUCAAGACUGUAUGUUGCCCUCUGGACAUCAGAUGAUCAUUUGAGUCUUUAUAUUGCUGUUUCAUUUCAUUUAUAUAUAAUAAAAACAAAGACAAAUGUUUAAAAAAGUGUUAACAUUUUUAUUGAAUUAUAUACAUGUAUGUCAUGCUACCAGAAGUAAAGCUUUCUUCCUUUGCAUACAAAAGCCAUCCAUUAAUUCCACAACAAUUAUUCUCCAUAUGCAACAUAUAUAUGAAACAAUAACAAAAAAUUAUUAGAAAAUUGUUGUUUUUAACAAACAGUUGACAAAAAAGGUACAUCACUAAACAAUAUCAUAUGAUUACACUACUUUUAUUAGAUGGACUUACAAUUGCAGUUUAUUAUAUCAAUGUUCUUCAGUUGUACUACACUGUCAAAUUUAAGUCAAAACUUAUGAUCUCGUUAAAAAAAAUCUACUAUGCAAUUUUGUGUAGAAGCUAAUAUUGGGGGGUAAAUUUCUUGAAAAGAAAAAAAAAUGUUUGCCUAUUGAGCAUAUAUUUUUUUCUCCAUUCUAUAAGUUAUAAACCAUAACUUAAUGUUAUUAAACCCUAUUCAAAUUGAGAUGUACUCCUUCACCUUGCAUUUUUAAAUAAAGUUACUUGUUUCAUGAUACAAAUAUUUAACACAGUUUUUAAUAGAUUUCAAAUAUACCUUUAUAUAAAACAACUAAAAAUUAAAAAGAAGUUUAUUAUUUUAAAAAAAAUCCUUGCCAUGCUGGAUAUUUGUGUAACAGUAGAACAUGAUGUUAUUUAAAAAAAAUAGUCUUUGUUUUUAGAAAUUGCAUGUAUUUGUUGCAAUUCACCAGUAAAACCAUAUACAGUUAACUCUCGUUGUCGUCGAACUCGUUGACUCGAAAUUUCAGAUGAGUCGAAGUUUUCACGUGGUCCCGAACUUUGUUCCAUAUAAAUGUAUGUAAUUCAACUUCUGAUG